rnacentral:rRNA from 1 species
UAAAAUUGUUGAAGGAGGGGAGUUAAAUUUAAGUGAUUUUUUUUAUAUUUUAUUUAUUUUAUUUUGAUUUUACAUUUAUUUUAUAUUUUGUGUAGGUUUGUAUGGGGUUUACAUUUCUACAACACAUCUUAUAUUUCUGUGCAGGUUUGUACAGAAGUCAUAUUUCUAGGUUUACAUUUUAGUAUAUCUAUGGCGCAUUUUAUUGAAAUAAAAUUUUGUGUAGGUUUGUAUAAAAUUUUUAAGUUGCAGAUAUAAUAGAACAUUUCUACAACACAUCUUAUAUUUAAUAAGUUAUAACUGCGCAGGUUUGCUACCAAAUUAAAGCUUAAAGCGUUUUAGUUAUAUUAAAGAGUUUAUUGUACAAUCGAUAUAUUUUGAAGAAAUAUUAUAUUUCUGAUAUUUAUUGAUUUUUGUUUAUUAAAAUUUUACAUUUCUAUGGCGCAUUUUAGAAAAAAUUUUUUUUUGUGUAGGUUUGUAGUACUGAAAAGGAAAUUUAUUAUUAAUAAAAAAGAAUGGGGUUUACAUUUCUACAACACAUCUUAUAUUUAUUAAAAUUAUUUUAUAAUUGCAGGUUUGCACAGUUACGAAAAUUAAAAUUAAAUUAAAUUUGACUUUUAUAACAGCAUUAUAAAUUUUUAGUUAUGGAUGCUGGGCAUUUCAAUUUUUAUAAUAUCUGGUUUUUUUAAAAAAAAGUCUAAUUUUUCUAUUAAAUAUAAAAUAAUUAGUGUCAAGAUUUUAUUGGUGCAUUGUAUGUGGUUGGGACAGCUAGUGCUAAAAUAAACAAUACUAACUUAUUUAUGUUGCAAACAUAUAGGAUUAAAAAUUUCUAUAUUUUAAAGUUUUUCAUCAGUUUUUUGUUAUUAUUAAACCCUAUAUAUAAUUUUAUUUUUUUAAGAAAAUAAUUUUUAAAAUUUUUUUAAAAAUUUAAUAAUGAUAGAAUUAGUAUUUUAUAUGUAAUUUGUUUAUUUUUUUUUAAUUAAGCAAAGGAAUUCGGCAAAAUUUUACCCACCUGUUUAUUAAAAACAUGUCUUUUUGAUUUAUAAUUUUAAGUUUAACCUGCCCAAUGAAUUUUUAAUGGCUGCAGUAUUUUGACUGUACAAAGGUAGCAUAAUCAUUAGUUUUUUGAUUGAAAGCUGGAAUGAAGGGUUGGAUGAGGUAAAAACUGUCUCUGUUUAAACAAAAAAAUUUUAUUUUUAAGUGAAAAAGCUUAAAUAUUUAAAGAAGACGAUAAGACCCUAUAGAAUUUUAUAUUUUUUUUUAUUUGAUUAAUAAGUAUUUAAAUUUGAAUUUUAAAAAAUAUUUUAUUGGGGUGAUAAAAAAAUUUAAUAAACUUUUUAUUUUUAAACAUUAAUUUAUGAAAAUUUGAUCCUUUAUUAAGAUUAUAAGAUAAAUUACCUUAGGGAUAACAGCGUAAUUUCUUUUUAGAGUUCAAAUCGAAAAUGAAGUUUGCGACCUCGAUGUUGGAUUAAAAUUUAUAUUUGGCGCAAAAGCUUUAUAAUUGGGUCUGUUCGACCUUUAAAAUUUUACAUGAUCUGAGUUUAGACCGGCGUGAGCCAGGUUGGUUUCUAUCUCUUUAAUUUAAAAAUUUUUUAGUACGAAAGGACCAAAAAUUUUUUUUAAAAAAUAUUUUUUGAUUAAAAUU